rnacentral:tRNA from 1 species
GGGAAAGUGGCUCAGCGGUAGAGCACUUGCCUUGCAUGCAUGAGGCCCUGGGUUCGAUUCCCCAGCACCA